rnacentral:rRNA from 1 species
AUUGAACGCUGGCGGCAGGCUUAACACAUGCAAGCCGAGCGGAGAUGAGGUGCUUGCACCUUAUCUUAGCGGCGGACGGGUGAGUAAUGCUUAGGAAUCUGCCUAUUAGUGGGGGACGACAUUCCGAAAGGAAUGCUAAUACCGCAUACGUCCUACGGGAGAAAGCAGGGGAUCUUCGGACCUUGCGCUAAUAGAUGAGCCUAAGUCGGAUUAGCUAGUUGGUGGGGUAAAGGCCUACCAAGGCGACGAUCUGUAGCGGGUCUGAGAGGAUGAUCCGCCACACUGGGACUGAGACACGGCCCAGACUCCUACGGGAGGCAGCAGUGGGGAAUAUUGGACAAUGGGGGGAACCCUGAUCCAGCCAUGCCGCGUGUGUGAAGAAGGCCUUAUGGUUGUAAAGCACUUUAAGCGAGGAGGAGGCUACUGAGACUAAUACUCUUGGAUAGUGGACGUUACUCGCAGAAUAAGCACCGGCUAACUCUGUGCCAGCCGCCGCAGUAAAAC